UACGUAGGGGGCAAGCGUUGUUCGGAAUUACUGGGCGUAAAGGGCGCGUAGGCGGCCUGGCAAGUCGGGAGUGAAAGCCCGGGGCUCAACCCCGGAACUGCUUUCGAAACUGCCAAGCUAGAGUGCGGAAGAGGCAACUGGAAUUCCCAGUGUAGCGGUGAAAUGCGUAGAUAUUGGGAAGAACACCGGAGGCGAAGGCGGGUUGCUGGGCCGACACUGACGCUGAUGCGCGAAAGCCAGGGGAGCGAACGGG
rnacentral:rRNA from 1 species